rnacentral:rRNA from 1 species
AAGCUAAGGUCCACAAAUAUAGCUAAGUGGGAAACGAAGUGGGAAGGCUAAAACAGUCAGGAGGUUGGCUUAGAAGCAGCCACCCUUUAAAGAAAGCGUAAUAGCUCACUGAUCGAUUCGUCCUGCGCGGAAGAUGUAACGGGGCUAAGCUAUAUACCGAAGCUGCGGAUGCGAGCUUGCUCGCAUGGUAGGAGAGCGUUCCGUAAGCCUGCGAAGGUGCCUUGUAUAGGGUGCUGGAGGUAUCGGAAGUGCGAAUGCUGACAUGAGUAGCGAUAAAGGGGGUGAAAGGCC